GAGCGGGGAAGAAGAUGAGAGACAAUGCACUACAAACACAAAGUUUUAUAGUGGUUCGGAGCUAACCCUUGCUCCUACGUCCACUCCCCAAGUCUCACUUGGGAAUUUCACUAUAACCCCCUUGGAUUACAGCCGGUUGUUUUACAAGCUUACAACCAAACUUGUUGUUUUACGAGCUCACAACGAACUCGGUCGGUUUUUCCAGGCUCACCGACUAGAACCAACCCCGAUUGUUUUCCCGGGCUCACAAUCAAACCCUUACACACGUUGGUUUU
rnacentral:lncRNA from 1 species